UGUAGAGACAAAAAUAAACUGUGUUGCUCAGGCCAGUCUCAAACUCCUGAGCUUAAGUGAUCCUUCUGCCUCGACUUCCCAAAGUGUUGGGAUUACAGAACAGAGGGAAUUUCCUGGAAGGCAGGGUCUGUGUUCAUCUCCCACAGAGCAUAGAGCACAGUGGAUGCUGAGGAAAUGGUGAAUGCUGGAAAGGAGCAACAGAAGGAGCUCCAGUUCUCCCUGAGAAGUGUCCCCAUUGGGGAAGUGACCCAAAGUCUCAUGUGUCUCUGGGAGAUAAAUCAAGAUCAAGGCUAGGGCCUUGGGACUCAGCCUAGCCCUGUGAACAAUAUCUCACCUGGACUUUCAAAAGAUGGGGUGAAGGUGGACCACACCGGGUGUUCUCAGUGGCUUCCCAGGGCAGCUGCCUCAAUUAGAGGAUUUGCUAGUACGUAGCAGAGUGUGCAAUAAAUCUUAUUGUUUCAUUAGG
rnacentral:lncRNA from 10 species